ensembl:lncRNA
GUUGUGUUUACUAAUCGGCAGGCGGUUGAGGCCUACUCUUCCCUUGAAAAAAAAAAAAAAGCUUCUCUCUGGUAAAUAAAUAAUGUUGCACUGGAAUAGUUUAGCAGAGUUUUAUUGUACAUAAACCUUGUUCAGCAUCUUCACAUGUAACACAGCGUAAUGACACUAACAUCUUGAAGGAUUUCUGGGCAGUGGAGUGUUAAACGGCCCCGGCAAGAGUGGCUCCCCCCACACACACUCACUGCCAGCCGAACCAAAUUGUACUUUAACUCCAGGAAAGAUGAAAUGCUGCCUCUCAUGAGGGUUGCUGUCUAUCCGGCAUCUCGCCGACAUUUAUGGAAGAAGAACUCGCCGUUGCAUGGCUUCCGCUCGACUGACAAGCUCUGAAAAAAGCAAAGACAUGAAAGACAUGAAUGAUACCUUAAAUCAUGUGGCUUGUUGAAGACAGAUGAAUGAAAAUCCUUCAUCCUCAGAACGACAUGAGGAUGCCGAAAAAUAGACUGAUGCAAAGUGGAGCCUGUCAAGCCAAUGAGGACAGAAGAUGAAGACAGGACCGCCGAAAUAAGGGAAACACUUCUGGCAGCGGGAAUUUCCUGAGAGUGCAUCGAGAGGAAGGCUGCAGCAUACGCCAGCCCAGAAUGCACCACAGGAAGUGUCUGCGAGACUCCAGAAGCAGAGGUCAAGGCCAGGGGUCAACGGGUGGCACGGCAGAGAUUUACGGCGAGAGAAAACCCAGCCCGUUCACAGCCUUCAUCCAUUUCCCAGGGAAAUUAGCCAUAAAGUCACCGUUUUCAUCUUUCAAGGUUUUGUCAUAAACCGUCAUCUUUCCCCAUCUUUGAUUUGAGCAAGAAAAAAAGGCACUAAAAGAUAAAAUAAGAACAACAAUAGACUAUAACAGAUCCUACUGUAUUCUUUUCAUCUCAAGUUAACCUCUCGUUUUACCGUCCGUUGUUUCCGACACGGACCACCCUAUUGUUUAAAGAUGCCUGUGUGAAAAAACAAAAAACGUUUCACAUUUUCUGAAAUGUGCAGGGCUGCUCUCUGAGGUCCAUUUCAUUUUAACCAAAUGGGGGGGAAGCUUGUCUUUACUGCGGUGAGCAGAUGG